AACGAACGCUGGCGGCAUGCCUAACACAUGCAAGUCGAACGAACGCUUCGGCCUUAGUGGCGCACGGGUGCGUAACGCGUGGGAAGCUGCCCUUUGGUUCGGAAUAACAGCUGGAAACGGCUGCUAAUACCGGAUGAUGACGAAAGUCCAAAGAUUUAUCGCCAGAGGAUGAGCCCGCGUUGGAUUAGGUAGUUGGUGGGGUAAAGGCCUACCAAGCCGUGGAUCCAUAGCUGGUCUGAGAGGAUGAUCAGCCACACUGGGACUGAGAAACGGCCCAGACUCCUACGGGAGGCAGCAGUGGGGAAUAGUGGACAAUGGGGGCAAGCCUGAUCCAGCAAUGCCGCGUGAGUGAUGAAGGCCCGAGGGUUGUAAAGCUCUUUUACCCGGGAAGAUAAUGACGGUACCGGGAGAAUAAGCCCCGGCUAACUCCGUG
rnacentral:rRNA from 1 species